UUUAAUGAACUUAUGAACUAAAAUAAUUACAGGCUUGUAAACUAAUUUAUUGUUAAGAAAGGAUUGAGCGAAGUUGCGGGAACGCAUACUCCAAAUUAAUUUAGGAUUAUGGACAUGUUAACUCAAAGUUUUAUAACUAUCUUAACACAAAGACCAUGGAAUUCGUGAUUUUGGUUCAGCCCGUCACAACUCAAAUUAAUUAAAGGGAUUAUCAAUGAACUAGGUUCUAAAGUAAUCAAAACCAAUUCUUCUUUUUUUUUUAAAAGAAAAACUGAAUCUAAAACAUGACCCAAUAGGCUUUGAGACAGGAAGUCUAAUCUUCUUUGCUUCUCCCAUAACUUGGGCCUGACCUGAGGCCGAAUCAUAAAAAAAAGUUCAGGUGAAACAACAACGCCCUAAGCACUCUGCAUUCUAUUAUCGUAGCAAAUAUGAAUAUCUAAACGCAUACAUGAAUUGUUCUAAGAAAUUGACACACACAUGUAAAAUUUCCUGACCACUUCAAAACAGUUUCAGCAUAUCAACCAACAUGUUAAUAAAACUAUGCGUGCUGGAAUUUUGACAUAAACCAAAGCAAACCAUAAAACCAAGCGAAGAGAACGAAAAGGGGUGUAAAUCUGAUUACAUACUUGAGUUUCAUUUGAGAUUCAAACGAGAAGGCAUAACGUGAAUAAGCUUGAUAUUAAUGGAUCACACCUCAAGCUAUACAUAAAAUGAGCUUGGAGUUGUGAUGCACGAGAAAACUAGAUCCAACGCAGGCAUCCUGAACUAACAAACAUUUGACCUUCAAGUACGCUCAAAACCAAAUAAAUUCAUAGUCAAGCGAUCGAGUCCUUCAGUUAAUACCUGUUAAGCCGACUACAUAUAUCUAACCUAUAAUGUUGCUGAAUUUAAAGCACUCAUAGCAGAUCUAAUACUAAUUCCAGGAUACAAAUACGGUACUGAUUAUUGAUGAAUUACAUAUUGAAAAAAAUAAAGUUGGGCUAAAGGCAUCUGAAAACAAAGUGCAAAAAUUUCCAAACAAGACUUCCCUCUUCAAACAGUAGUUACAUCCUUGCAAAAAUCUCAAUUCCAUUCAAGUUUCGAAUGAAAUACCUGGAGAGAAGAAACAAGAAAUGAGGGACAAUUUUCAGCUCCUAAAACCUUUCUUUUGUGUGUUUUUCUGAAUUUUUACUAUCUAAAAACCCUUCGAAUAGCAGCCUUUGUUAUAAUGACUUUAUAGGCAAAUCCUUAAGGUGCCUUUCAGAUUCUUUGUUUUCAUUUUUAGUCCCCUAUUUUAUAACUUGUUUCCCAAGUUAUACCCUGAAAUUUACUAGCAGAUUCCUGCUAGAAACUUCCAGGUUAGUUACAAAAUAUUCCUCACCUAAACUACCCAAAUCACCCCCUAUAGCCAUCACUAUUUACCCUCCUCUGAAAAACAGAUAUGGGCUCAAGUGAGGCACAUACAGGCCAAAACCAUGUGGGCUACCAGAAUUACCUGCCCCGCUUUGGGCUCCCUCUUUUUAUAAAGCCCAAACGUGAUUAAUACAAAAAAGCAGUGCAAUUCAUAAAUCAGUAAAGCAUGACCAAAACUACGAUACUAUUGAAGCUAUGAACGACGACACUUCUAAUUCAAAUGGAACAAGAAAUAGAUCAAAUAAUGAUUUUACUAAGCAAUCGAUGUAUGAUUAUCACACCAGAACUAAUGUUUAAAAACAAGAUAGCAAACAACAAAAGAAAAAAAACAAAAAAGAAUUAAAAAUUGCAGUAAAGAGGGGAACAAUGUACCAGGUUAUAAUAGCAGAUUGACAAAUUCAAAGAAAUCAACGACUAAGGAGGAUCUGAUAAGCGUCGAAAUUUUAAUACGAGCGUUAACCAAAAUUUCUCCGACGGCUAAUGCUCCAUAUCACAAUCUUCGACACCUAUCUUUAAAAUGAGACGAACCAAAACUUGGAGCAUGGAUUGCUUGGCUAACAUUGGCUUCCAUGAGGGGCCUGGAAUUUGACUGAAUAACCAACUGAUCCCUCGUGCUAGUAUCAAAAGAAGCAAAUAUCGGAAAAACACAGAGGAAAUCGGACGAGACGAAGCCAACUCAGAUUAUAUACCUUCCGAGAUUUGAAAUUCAUGGGAAUCGAGCGACAUUUGGAGAAAACUAGUGGUGGAUUUGGAAUGGGAAAGCAACAAGGAUUAUGAGGUCAAAUUUUGAGGAGGUUUGGAGAUCGCCGCUGCUGGCGAUCUCCGGCGGCGGCGACGGGAGAUGAGGGGUUGUACUUGAUCCUAGGUUUACUAAUGGUUAUUUGGACAUAUUAAGGUAAAUGUAGAGGUAAUUGUGACCUUUGGAUGGG
rnacentral:lncRNA from 1 species